AUUAGAUUCAGCUGCAAAACCCCAGCCCAAUGUGUACAGUCAAACCCCUGAACCCAAGCCAAGUUCUCGAUUGCUUCCACAACCCUACCCUAAGCAAUCCCAAUAGCCAUGUCCGCCACCGCAGCCGCCAGGUCUGUCCUGCGCUCCAACGUUAUCCGAACUGUCGGACUCACCUACGGGCCCAAACCCGGACCCGGAAGCAAACCAGCUUUCUCUCCAUUUCGCAUCUCCAGGCGAAGUUCCCCCCCUCAUCGCAUUUUGAGGUCACCAGUAGAGUUGAGCUGCUGUGUGGAGACGAUGCUUCCAUAUCACACUGCGACUGCUUCCGCGUUGCUUAAUUCAAUGCUUUCCGUCUCUCGCCGCAGCUAUGGUUGGACCCCUGAAGAUUGCAAUGAUGAUGUAUGAUGAAUGUCAGAGGAUUCGAGCAAAGUUUAUGUACAUGCACUCAAUAAGAAGAUGGAUGAUUGUUCAUUAUUUGGAUGCGGUGCAUUGGUCGUAAUUUUUCAUUGAUUUCAGUGGACUUUAGUCUUGCUCGAGAGAUUAUUCUCCUUGUGGAAUGGAAUGAGGCAAUCCAAAGGUUCUUCUGCAAACAUAUGCAAGUAGGUACCUUGUGGAAAUAGGUAUAUUUUGUAAUUUUCCAGCUGCUGAAAGUGGAUCAUUGCUGAAAUGGAUAUUUUUUGGUAAUCCUUCUCUCUCUCUCUCUCUCUCUCUCUCUCUCUCUCUCUCCCCAUUUUGUUCCACUGAUAAGUUGUAUUGCUGUAGCUCUGUUAGGCCAAAAACCACCAGAGCAACCCAAUGGGGUCUGAAGCUGAGAUUUCAAAUUAGAGAUAUUAUUAAGUCUUAGCCA